UGGGGAAUAUUGGACAAUGGGGGAAACCCUGAUCCAGCAAUGCCGCGUGAGUGAAGAAGGCCUUAGGGUUGUAAAGCUCUUUCGCUCGCGAAGAUAAUGACGGUAGCGGGAGAAGAAGCCCCGGCUAACUCCGUGCCAGCAGCCGCGGUAAUACGGAGGGGGCUAGCGUUGUUCGGAAUUACUGGGCGUAAAGCGUACGUAGGCGGAUGCGCAAGUUGGGGGUGAAAUCCCGGGGCUUAACCUCGGAAUUGCCCUCAAAACUGCACGUCUUGAGACCGAGAGAGGUAAGGGGAAUUCCUAGUGUAGAGGUGAAAUUCGUAGAUAUUAGGAAGAACACCAGUGGCGAAGGCGCCUUACUGGCUCGGUACUGACGCUGAGGUACGAAAGCGUGGGGAGCAAACA
rnacentral:rRNA from 1 species